rnacentral:lncRNA from 1 species
GCUCCCUGCAGGCACCACAGCAAAGGCGUUGCGCUAGAUUGGGUUGUCUCUCUCCUUUCUGGGGCACCCAAUGCACCAUCUCCAUGCUGCCUUUCUCCACCUGAGGACCAUCCUGAGCUCUGAUCCCUCUCCCUCCCCUUGCUGCACGAGUGGUCUCACACUUUGGAGCAAUGACAAAGGCACCAGCAGGAGCUGCUAUGUUCCAUCCCGCACUCCAUCCACCGAGUGACAAAUCUCUGGCAACAGUUCGCAUCAAGUCCUUCUGAGGAGCA